rnacentral:rRNA from 1 species
CAGUCGCCGCGGUAAUACGAAGGGUGCAAGCGUUACUCGGAAUUACUGGGCGUAAAGCGUGCGUAGGUGGUGGUUUAAGUCCGUUGUGAAAGCCCUGGGCUCAACCUGGGAAUUGCAGUGGAUACUGGGUCACUAGAGUGUGGUAGAGGAUAGUGGAAUUUCCGGUGUAGCAGUGAAAUGCGUAGAGAUCGGAAGGAACAUCUGAGGCGAAGGCGACUAUCUGGGCCAACACUGACACUGAGGCACGAAAGCGUGGGGAGCAAACAGGAUUAGAUACCCCGGUAGUCCCUGUCUCUUAUAC